UAUCACUCCAGGGUCCCCUCCAGGGUCCCCUAGUGCUUAUCUGUAAGCACAAGGACUCCACGUCUCUAACAAGGGAAGGCUCUCACGAAGUUAACUGUUUCAGUUAGACUGAUUGGCCACCAGACCCAUAGGAAACACCUGCCUCUGCCUCCCACCAUGCCGAAAUUGCAAGUAUGUGCUACCCCACCUUGCACUUAUUCUGGGCCUGAACUCAGUCUUUAUGUUUUCACGAGUGAAAGAACAGAAUGAAGACCUUUCCUAGUCACCGAGUAACAUCUCAUCCAGAUUAAUUAGGAAAUAAGACUGAAUUCCCCUAAAAGUGAGUCAUGAAAGUAUCCAGACCGGAGACCUAAAUUGCUCCACAUCCUGAGGAACUGUGUGUUG